AUUGAACGCUGGCGGCAGGCCUAACACAUGCAAGUCGAGCGGAUGAAGGGAGCUUGCUCCUGGAUUCAGCGGCGGACGGGUGAGUAAUGCCUAGGAAUCUGCCUGGUAGUGGGGGAUAACGUCCGGAAAUGGGCGCUAAUACCGCAUACGUCCUGAGGGAGAAAGUGGGGGAUCUUCGGACCUCACGCUAUCAGAUGAGCCUAGGUCGGAUUAGCUAGUUGGUGGGGUAAAGGCCUACCGAGGCGACGAUCCGUAACUGGUCUGAGAGGAUGAUCAGUCACACUGGAACUGAGACACGGUCCAGACUCCUACGGGAGGCAGCAGUGGGGAAUAUUGGACAAUGGGCGAAAGCCUGAUCCAGCCAUGCCGCGUGUGUGAAGAAGGUCUUCGGAUUGUAAAGCACUUUAAGUUGGGAGGAAGGGCAGUAAGUUAAUACCUUGCUGUUUUGACGUUACCAACAGAAUAAGCACCGGCUAACUUCGUG
rnacentral:rRNA from 1 species